rnacentral:pre_miRNA from 1 species
AAUAGAUGACGUCGUUGACUUUUUGUCACACGUUUGACCAUUUGUUUUAUUCAAAAAAUUUAUGUAAUUAUAAUUUAUUUUGUUGAGUUGUUUUAACACUCAAAGUACUUUAAGCAUGAUUUAUACCUUAUACAUUUGCAUAAAAUUUUUGAAUAAAAUAAAUGGUCAAACAUGUGUUCAAAAGUCAACGGUGGCAUCUAUU